AGAGUUUGAUCAUGGCUCAGAACGAACGCUGGCGGCAUGCCUAACACAUGCAAGUCGAACGGGAUCCUGGCUUCGGUCAGGUGAGAGUGGCGGACGGGUGAGUAACGCGUGGGAACCUGCCCAGUGGUGGGGGAUAACUGCGGGAAACUGCAGCUAAUACCGCAUGAGCCCGAGAGGGGAAAGAUUUAUCGCCAUUGGAGGGGCCCGCGUUCGAUUAGGUAGUUGGUGAGGUAACGGCUCACCAAGCCUUCGAUCGAUAGCUGGUCUGAGAGGAUGAUCAGCCACACUGGGACUGAGAUACGGCCCAGACUCCUACGGGAGGCAGCAGUGGGGAAUAUUGGACAAUGGGGGCAACCCUGAUCCAGCAAUGCCGCGUGAGUGAUGAAGGCCUUAGGGUUGUAAAGCUCUUUUGGCGGGGACGAUAAUGACGGUACCCAAA
rnacentral:rRNA from 1 species